CCAAACCUCAAACUAUAGAAAAGCCCAAAUCAGAAAGAGGAAGUCCCUGAAUUAGAAAACUCUAAGAAACCUUCGUUCCUGAUUUCGAUUUCAACUCCAGUGUUCUUGAAGGGAGAAAACCUCACCCACCGCGUGAAGGAGCUACUUGAACCAACAAAGAUGAAGACUCCUAGACUGACCUGAGGUUGGGGUUUAGGCCGAGCACUUGAAGCUUGCUAAUGGGUACUAUAAGAUCAAGGCCAUACGCAAAAAGCGAGUUUAAAAGGUCCAUCAUUUCUCCUUUCUAUCUUUUCUCAUAAAAUCGAAAUAUUCAAGCUCUUUGUCUCUAGAGGAGGCACACUAGAAGUGUUCUAGUUAUUUUUUGCAGAUAGAUUAAGAUGAAAAUGAAGUGUAAUGUGGAUAUAUUUUUCAUUGUUUUGAACUUGACUAUGGAUUUUAGAGAUAACCAAAAGGUUUGUUUUCAGGUCAGUUUUCAAUUUUCUAUUGUGUAUAUAUGCUAAUGUAUAUCCUAUGGAGUUUUUUUUUUUUUUUUUAAUCCUUUUUUGUUGAUUUAAUCAUUGUAUGAUGUGAAUUUAAGACAACUAGAAUGGGAAGCGCAUAAGGAGAAAGACUACUGGUGCUAAACACGAGUGACCUCCGCCACGUUUCCCGCAGAUUCAAGACCAACACCAUUUGAAGCUUCUGUGCCUUUCGAAUUCUUAAUUGUUGUUAAUUUUGUUCGGAUGCUUGAGUUUGCCUUUUAAUAUGGAUAGACAAGAGGUCAACAUUAGCUUGAAUGCUCAAAUUAAUUUUGUCAUUGUGCUUGUCACUUUUUUUUAUUGUUUGCCAAGAUUUUGUCAUUUUUUGGAGCAUAACAAGUCGAAUAUGG
rnacentral:lncRNA from 1 species